ACCAAGGGAGGGGGAAUGUAGUGAGUGUGGAGUGGGGCCUCAUGGAAGGGGCAGGGCUAGGGUGUUUGGUUUUGUGCGAUUAGAAAGUUGGCAACCCUAUGUUGGCCCCAGAUGUAACAGAGAAUGAAAGCCCACAGUGGGGCUGUGUAAUAACAACUGGAACCAGAGUAAUCUGACCAGCUCUCCAGAGGAAGAUGUGUAUUCAGGUGGUUUUCAGACACUGCAUGGAGGAGCUGGGCCUCUUAUAAAAUGCUCCACAUUUUAAAAAAAGAAGGGAGCCUGGAAACAGAAGGCUAAAACAGUUUCUGCUGAAAUCGCCAGAAUUUCCAUAGAGAAGUGAAACUGUAUGAAAGUUAAGGGGAUUAUUUUCACAGAUUGGAACAUUUCCAGUUUUCCAAGAGCAAAAAAAAGCUUAGAUGAGGAGUCAUUUUCCAGGAAAAAAAAAAGACCUAUUUGUUAGGAAUAUUGACUAUGUAUCUGUAUUUCAACUAUGCUACUUUGGGUGACGCCCACUGCUAACAACUUCAGGUAAAACAAUGGAAAAGCCAGACAGGACAGAUGGCCCAUUAGUGAGGACAACAGACUGAAAAGCUUGGUCUUCCUGUGGACGCUCCAUACUGCCACUGACUCAUGGAUGCUGUGAUCCUACAGAGUCAGGUGGUCUUGUCACCUGAUACUAAAACUUUACCUGGGACUUCUUGUAACUUUCCAGUGUAAGGGAAGGAGGGUCACACUAGGAAACAAAGGACUCCCACCUUAUGCAAAUCCUAUUUAAGGGUGGGGAAUGAGGUAAUCCAGGUUGGCAGUUCUCCCCUGCUUCCCCACCCAAGAUGACUGCUGGAAACAACCAAGACUGAAUUGAAGGAAAGGUCUGGACCUAGGCUGGAAGGGCAUCUGGCCUAUGAAGAAUAUUAUUAGAACCACAUUUAAGGUGAGAAUUUACGUGUAACCAGUUUCUUUAGUGUAUUAAGCUUAGUUUGCAUGCUAUUUUUCACUUUUUUUAGUAAUCUGCCUUGUUCUGUCUGCUAUCUCCUUAACUACUUAAAAUACACCUGUUACAGUUCAUAGAUUGAUUUCUGGUUUACAAUAUAAUCCAGUUUAUGUGAUUUCUAACUGGGGAAGGGGGGCAAGAAUUUGUGCAUACCCUCCCCCACAUUGAGGGAAGAGGCAAAUUUCAUAUAAUUUUGGGUUUGUACUACCAAGAGGGGUGGGGGGGGAUAUCUGGGUGCUGUGGCAAGCCCCUUAAGAUGAGCCUUCUCAGAGUGCAUCUCUGUCUCUCUGUGCAGCGGGGUGUGGCCCUGCCUGUGUGCAUAGUUGGAAAAGGCUGGGACACCUAGCCCAGCAAAACCAGGUAAAAGGGGGCCCAGGCUGCCAGAACAAUCUGCCUCAAUCAGACAAUCACUGCUAACCUUUUUGGUGAAAACAAACAAACAAAAAAGGCAUUUAACACUUUGGCCAUUCCUGUGAUUUCUUUUUCCCUCCUCAUAGAGUAACAGGUCUACCCUGUCCUUUGUCUUCCUCUAGCUUCUCAUAUAUUUGUAAAAUGUUUUCUUGUUGCCCUUUAUGACCCUAGCUAAUUUAACCUCGUUUUUUGUCUUGGCCUUUCUAAUUUUCUUGCAACAUGCUAGUGUUAUUUUAUAUUUAUUUUUCAUAAGUUGACAAACUUUCCACUUUUUGUACAACUUUUGUUGUUGUUGGUUUGUUUGUUUCAGGUCAUUACCUACCAAUUCUCUGAGUUUGCUAAAGUCUGAUUUCUUAAAGUCCAUUGUCUUUAUUCUGAUGUUCUUCCACAACUGCUCCUAUAAUCUCAUUAACAUUGUACUGAAGACUCAAACCACUCCCGACCUCCCCCUUUCCAUCUAUGCUGACAUCUUUUCACAUCUUUCUGAUACAGGCUAUUCCCUUCCCAAUCUUCCGUCAACAGUGACCUCUCUAUUUCACUUCUGGUCACUAAGGCUUUCAAACAUGGACCACUCUCUGACUCUUCCUUUCCCUUCUUUCCUCACAUCCAGGGUCACACCCAACCUUUUGGUUUCUCCCUCUGUGACAUUUGUACAAGCUGCCUUUAACUAAAAACUUCUUAUGGAGGAUGAGAGAUAUUUCUGUAUUAUUUUUAAUUAACAUGAAUGUGAUUCAGUUUCCCCACUCACUUCUGUAUUGCUACUUACUUGGUAUGAAGGGGUUAAUUUAUUUUCAGAAACAGGAAAAUAAAUGAUGAACUGACUACGUACAGGUCAUGUAGACAUGUAUGGGUUGGUAUGAAUGGACAAGUAAGAACUGUCAACACAGGACUGCAGCUACUUCAGAGAUACAAUGGAGACCCAUGUCCAGAUCAUUAACUUUUAAUAAUAGCUGCCCAAAGGGACCUAAUGGAUGUGAUGGACAAUUACCAGUCUGACUACAACGCUUCCCCUACUAGAAUGCAGGGGGAGGCAGCACAUGUGUCUGGGGCUUGAGACAAAGGACUAAGUUGUUAGGAAAGCUCGUAAAACUCCUGCUCUCUCACUGGAAGGGAACAAUUCAAUCUGGGAUGGCCAAGGCCAGAAAGUUUGUGGCAAGCGUGUAAUCAGUCUAUCAGACUAGGGCAAAGAGGAGCAAGGAGAAAUUAGCAAGUUAGCAGAGAUGUGUUUAAGCUUUGCUUUCCAUUGAAACCCUAGGUCACUAAAUGCUGUAUUCCAGCUGACUGAUAAAUACGUCUUGUUUUGAAAAGGCUGCCCUGUGUCACUGCCAACAUCUGCUGGUUGCAUAGCUCCUAAGAGGGUAGGUCUGCAACAGGGGUCCAAGUUCCUUUAGACCUCCAGAAGGUGGUGCUGAAGCCAGGGACUCAGUCUCAGUAGUGGAGUCGGGGGGCUCCCCCCUGGAGCAAAAUGGAGGGCCAGGGCCUAGCACUAAGAAGCAAUCUUUCUGCAAAUGUAUCCAGUAAGAUGGAUCCAUGCCCCGUGGAUCCAUGACAUCCCCCACUGCCAAAAGCCAGGUUCAUGCCCUAUUUCUCUCUUGCUGGGUGGAUAUAACCUCUUCCUCUCCAACUUCCCUAUCAUCUUUCCCCUCUUCAACCUAUCCAACAAGCCAUCAUUUACAAAGUCAUUAAAGUAAUUCUGUGACUUUUAAUCUUGUAGGAAUAGUCUUUCAAAACUCCCAGAUGCAACUGAGUAUUUAACCCUCUUCUAUACACAAUUUCAUGCUCAAGAGCACAGGCAUUAAUAGCGCCGACACAUUCAACUCCCAGCUCUUCGGCCACCCUCCUUAGUUCUUAUUCUAGAACUUGGACCAAACCACAAUAUUCAGAUCCAGACCCAAGAUUUCUCCAAAGUUCCAUGGUGUUCAGAUCUCGGGUUUUGAUUUGGCCUAUAAGAGAGGCUAGGGUAGACAGGCAACAUUUGGAUCUAGAUCUUAACUACAGAGGAGGAGAGAAUAUUUGGAUUGGAGUUUUUGCUUAAUGUCAAUCUCCAUUUUAUUUAGCAGGAGCCAAAGAGAAAUGAUAUAGCUGCAAUAGUUUCUAAUUGUAUGACUUAAUCACAACUACUCCCUUUCCACUGAGGCCAAAUCCCAAAAUGAAGAUGACCUUCACUGACCCUGAAGUUACUGCUUAAUGUUCUGCCGCUGAGAGUGGCUGAAACUAAUGUCUCAGGUUAAGUUAAAAGAGUGGAAGAAGUCACAAACUGCAUACAAGGACCAAGGCAACUGAGCUACAAUAUAUUCGCAAACUACAAUGUUAAUGCAAAGAACACCCAAGGCCACUUAUCUGAAGUGCAUCAUUGCAUACAGCAGCCUGCCCUCCUUAAUUCCCUCAGAGCCCUUUAAACAAUGUGACUAUUCUGUGGUGCAUGGUGGGACACAGACUGUGCAUUUUAACAACAGAAGGAUGGAACAUCGGUAUUUAUUAGCAAAAUCAAUCCAUGUGGGAUUAGAUGGUUCGGGAGACUGGUAAAGUAAUAAGGAAUUUUUCACCCCCUAAGGGGCAGCACUUCCAAUCUGGUCCAUGUUAUUAAAUGACAGAGGAAGAUCAUCAAGAAGAGGAUUGAGAGUCACUGGCAAGCCAGUUUGGCAGAGUUUGCCUUCCUUCUGCCUUGCACAGUAUCUGAUCUUGCAGAGAAGUGUUCGCGUUUCAAUCAGCUUCAGCUGGCAUCUUUCACCAGAUCCUUCUUCAGAGGAAAAAAGAACAUCCCCCCUUUAUGAAGAAUGUACAUUUCCUUUGAGAAGCACAGAAAGCUGCAAAAUUAAUGUCUGAUUGCAUCCCACUAUCACAACAGCACCUGAUGAUUCUCAAUCCCACCAACAUAUGAAUGGAAGACAUUACUGGACACUUCUUAGAGUGGAAACUCAGAUCCUCAGCAGCAUAUUAAGACAUUCUGCAAAGCAGUUUUAGCUUCUUCUUAUAUGAUCUUUAAUAGUUAAUUUAAGUAAUUCAUUAGUUAAAUGUGCAGAGCCAGAGGGCUAUGUUCUACCCUCAGUUACACUGGAGUAAAGCUGGAGUUAACUCCACUACAGUCAGUGGAUGUGCACAUGGAAAGAGCUAAAGUUUUGGCUAAUUUUCAAGAGAGAAACACUGCUAAACACAGCAAGCUAGGCAGUUCUUGGCAUGACCCAUCAUGGCUUGUAUAAAAUAUCUUUUGAUUUACUAGACAAUGCUAUUUCCUUUUUGCCCGAUUUAUUUAAUGACCUUUUAAAGUCUUGUGGAUUUAAGACAGUUAUUUUCCUUCUGCCUGUUCACAGUUUUGGAAUUUAGUAACAAAAUUAGGGCUAGAUAAUAGACAACAUUUUCAACAUUACCAAAAUGGGGAAGUUGCCUAUAGUUCUAGAAAAUACAGAUUAACCUCAAAAAGCAAUUAGUGGAUUUCAAAAGAUAUUUAGGGUAAUUUCUUUCAUUGAACCUCUAGCAUAUUAAUCUUCUUCCUAUUAGAAAAACAGAAUUAGCCUGUAUAGAGAAUGGCAAUUUUUCUUUACCUUGAAGAUUGUGGUUAAACUCUUAAUUGGACAAAAUACAAAUACUGGGAAUAGGACAACUAUAGAUAAUCUGGAAGUGGCUACAUUUAUAUAGCACAUGUACACUUGUUUUUGUCUUCAAAGAGCUUCACAGACAUUUAACAAACCCUCAGCACCACUGCAAUACAUGACGUUAUGAUCCCCCUUUUACAGAUGAGGCACAGGGAAAAUGACUUGCACGAGGUCACCCAGCAGACUAGUGGCAGACCCAGGAAUAGGACCCAGGUUUCUUGAGUCCCAGUCCAGUGCUCUAUCUACGAGGGGAAACUACUCCCAAUUCAGGAGUCUGCCUCCCAGCUUGGUACUGUGACUAUAUCUAUCUCUGGGAAUCAGUCCACAUUUGACAACUAAGCAAGAUUUUUUCCUAUAUCCAUGUAUUUAAGUAACACGCUAAGUAUAGGAAGGGAAACGAAUACUGAAAUAACAAAUGGCAAAUGAAAAGUUUACACCAUGAUGCCAUUGUAUGCACAGUGCCAGAAUACAAAUAUUGUACCUAUACCCCCCGUACACAAUAUUUUAUGAUAAACAACCACCGUGGGGUUUUCUAAAGGUUGUAAGGGCAAUUCACUCAUUACUGUGACUUGGGUACUUCCUUCCCUUUGGUUCCUUUGAAAAAGACCACCCUAAAAGCACAGAGCUCUAUGACAGCAGUUUUCAAACUUUUUGAGCUGAGCCUCCAUUCCCAUCCCCCUUUGAGUUAUAAUUUUUGGUUGCACCCUUUAACCCAGACAAAAAUAGGCACAUGCAAAAGUAUGUUUGAUAGCCUACUCAUAUACCUAACAGAGACCUUAAUAAACUUUAAGUAAAUUACCUACUCCUGUAAGUUUCAAAUACACAGAUACUUUAACGUGAAGGGUGUGCCUGUUUCUCUGCAGACAGUUUAUCUAUUUGUGGGGAGAUUUUUGAAACUGACACUGAGGUUGUCCUCUAUUUCCAGUUUUGAAUAGUACUUUGUCUUUAGCACAGCCAGCGCAGAGAAUCUGAUCUCAUACAAAUAAGAUGAGCCUAACGAUAAAAGAGCUUUGAUCGCAUACUUUGACAAAGCUGGAUAUUCUGAGCCAACUUUCAACCAAAAAUCCCCCAAAGACUGUUUUUUAAAAAUUGAAUGGCCAGCGUCCUCCCACUCUGAAGUUCAAUCAACUUCUUCUGAAUGUCAUUUGAGAGAUGAGACAAGGUCACUGCCUCAGCUACAAAAGGUUGAAUAAUCCAGUCAUUCAGGGAGGGGCGCAUUUCCUUCAGGAAAAUAUUUCUCCAAACUGGCUCUGAGAGAAGUUAAGUGAUUCUUGAUUGGCUCCACAACACUCAAUAGUUCAUAUUCUGUUUCAUCAAUAGCAUGCGUUAACAAUGGAAAUGGAACUCUUAAACCAGUUUUGACCUUUGUUUUCCAGAGAUCUCACUUUCUCUUGAACGUUAAUAUCUUGUUGUGCAGGUCAAAAAUAAUACUUUCUGGUACUAUUUUCUGGUUUGGUAAAAAAUAUCAGCAAGGUAAGUCAAAAGCACAAGCCUGUGGGGAUCACACAAUGUCUCUGCAGUGCUGAAAUUCAAAUCCACUAGAAAAAAAUCAAACUUUGUUUCUAAGUUCAUAAAUGCAUUGCAAUACUUUCUCCCUGGAUAGCCACCUGAAUUCCGUGUGAACCAACCAAGUCUUAUGCUCUACUGCUAUUUCUGCACAAAGCAUUGGAAAGAGACGACGUGCCUUUGUGGGCUGUGUCUUGAUAAAGUUCACAAUUUUAAUAGCAACCUCAGAACAUCAGUAAGUUCCCGAUCCAGGUUUUGAGCUGUAAAGGCUUCACGAUGUAUCAUACAUGAUAUAUGUGGAGCAAUUUCAAGCACUUUGGCUUUUAAGCCUCCUGUAUCUCUAGACAUAGAAGGGGCUCCAUCCAUGCAGAGUCUGAUGCAGGUUUCCCACUUCAAUUCAUGAGAAGUUAGGAAGUUGUUUAAAAUGUUAGAUCGCUCAUAUCCAGUUCCACAUAUCUUAAUUGGCUUGCAGAACAAAAAUCUUCCUAUAUCGAUGCUUCAUGGGAGUACCAAACGCAAGCACUUUAGAUAUAUCUAUUGCUUCAUCCAACUGGAUUGCAAAUAAACUAGAUUGCAAUUGAGAGAUCAGCUAUGCCUUGACAUUUUCUGACAUGUCAGAGACUUGAUGGCUGACCGUGUUGUCUGACAGCAGGAUCAUUUUUGACUUCUCUGAUGCACAAUCACCAAACGAAUGUCAACUGCUGCUGGAGAAUCAGUUUUUCCCCCAGUUGUAUAAGGCAUUUUCACCACGAUGAUAUGAAAAAAAUAUCGAACUCACCAGCACAAUAAGCACUACACAACAGCUUGUUGGAAUGACAGGACAGGCUAUACUAAACGGGAAGGCAGGAAAGGUAGCUGUCGCUAUAGAAAUGACAUUGGCUUAUAAUUAAACACAGUGUAACAUACUCCUGCUUACUGCAUCAGCAGCAUUGUAUUGGUCAAUGCUACUUAAUUCACAAUAUUAUAGAAAUUGCAGAUUUAUUGCACCAUAAUUGUGUCAGCUCACAGCUGGGUUCCCACUGUCAGGCCUGGGCAGUUGGGGCUCCCGCUGUCAGCACAGGACAGCUGACAAAAUUGUGGUGGAAGCCUAAUAUUGUGGGAUCCACAAUUUCUGCCAUAUUGCAAAUUAAAUAGGGCCUUAAAAAUAAUUUUAAAAAAAGUAAAAAAUGCCUUGCGCAUCAUGCCCUCCCCCUGGAACAUUCCUGCAUGCCCCACAGUUUGAAAACCUUUGCUCUAUGGCGUGUGUGUGUUUGUUUUUUCCAACUCACUUUAUAACCAUAUAUAACUGCAUUGUUUUGACGAUGAGUCUGUUUACUUUGCAGGAUCAUGUCUGUGCCCUACAUGUGAUCUCUUUUAACAGCGACCCUGCCAACAAAAUGCAUGAGAUGCUGUACAAACACAUCUAGAAUAAAAGGAUGUAUAUUUAGAUGUUCACAUGCUUCAGGGAUGAGCACAACAUAUGCUGCACAAAGCCACAGGAAGAUGCAAUCCCAGCCCCUAAACACCUACACUCUAAUUUCCUCUAUACGUACAGAUGAGCUUAGAUAACAUAGGACAUCUGAGACCAGAUCACCUUUGUUGAUACAGCAUUUUGGAGGCCAUGGGAGCAAGCCUCCUAGCCCAGGUCAACAGACUCGGGCUCACAGGACUUGCACAAGCACUAUGAAAGCAGAUGUAGACAGUGCUCUGAAGUUGCGGCGUGGGCUGGAGAUCAACCUCUGAACCCCCUCCCCUGCCAGGCUUCAGAGCCUAAGCUCCAGCCCAAGCUGCAACUCCAAAGCGCUGUCUAUGCUGCUAUGUUUCGCGCACAGGUGUAGUUUGACUGCCGUAUGGGCGGGGAGGGGGGAGAAUGGGAGCGCGCCAGCCAGGCCAACCGAGUCUUGUGGGGGGCAAAUUCCGCACCUGCCUGAGACUUGCAAUGCUAGGCCCGCUGUGGGGUUACCGCUGCCCCAGUGUUUGUUCAGAACUCACAAAUGGACCCUGAGGGCUCAGUGUCCAUUCCUCUUUGGUUAAGUGGGUGUAGCUUCUCAUGCCAAAAGACGCUGAGUGAGUGGAGCGGUGUGUGUGUGUCUACACAUGUGUGCCUGUGUGUGUGUGUCCCUGAGGUCACGAGAAAUGCAAAGGGUGUGAGAGGCGCUGACCCAGCAACACGUGUGUCUGAGUGCGUAUACACAGACACCCUCCUGCCCCCCCAUCUCGCACAUGCUGAAGCCAGUUCCUCUGACUCGCUGGCUCUCUCCCUGUCCAGAGUGGCGGGCACUCCUAUGGCUGCAGAUUACCGAGGCUGCCGAUGGCUGGGGUGGGCAGGCUGACUUAGCGGGGGAGCCCCAGCUGCUGUGGUGAACUUAGUGCGGGAGCUGCGGAAACUCCAGCACCGGCUGCUGUGAGAACCUGGACUUGAUGCCACUGCUGUAUUUCAUGGUGCAAGUGGAUGCCACAUGCUAGGCUCCCACUUCCCUGCCGCACUGCAAAGAGACAUGCAGCAGCGCAGGCUCCACUAGGACCGUCAAGUAGCCAGCACCCCAGACUGCUUGGGGGUGAGGAAGAGGAAGUCAGGGAUCAGAGGGGCUGCUGGAAGGGGCCCACCCUGGUGCAUUAAGUUGAAUACACUGAGCCUUGCCCCUCUGACCAAAGGUGCCCCCCUGACCACAGCGCCAUGGGUGGUUGCCCUGUUUGGGGGGGGGGGGAACACCCCUCCUUCCCCCACCAAAAUGAUGCCCAUGGUUUAGAGUGCUAAUACAAGCCCCGCUACCCUGAGUCUAUUGAUCCAGGCAGGGAGGCUUGCUUCCAUGGGAUUCAAAAUGCUGUGUAAAUGUACCCUAAGAAGAGUCGUUGACUCUUGGGCCCGGGACGUGGGACCAUCUGACUAAGGUCAUGCUCUAGAGAGCUUUCAGCAGCCGCUCUAUGCUGAUGGGAGAGAGCUCUGCCUUCGACAUAAGUGUCUCCCACCAACAUAGCACUGUCCACACUGGCACUUUUUUCAGUGUAACUUAUGUUUUUUUCACACCCGAGUGAAAAAAGUGGUAGUGUAAACAGCCUAAGAAAAAGUCAGACAUUGCUAUUCUAAGCAGUAAAUCAGAGGGCCUGUGUCGGACCACUAUUCUGGGUAGUUUCUGUUCUUUUACAGUCAUCACCGAAAAGGACAGUAUGAAGCCACUAGAACACUGCACACCAGUAGCUAAACAAUGUAAUGCUGAAUUAAAACAGGCCAAUGUAACCCAUGAGCCGGAAGAUACAUCACUCAAUGAUUGACGACAGCAGCUUUCCUCUAAAGAUUCAACACAGAACAAGGGAAUGCUAUUCAUUGCUGCCAAAAUUAGCUUAGCAGUGUAUGCAAGGAUGGAAAAGCUUCAAGAAAGGGUUCUAAACAAGGAUAUAUUUGAGUCCUAUGGGGAUACAAGCCAGGCAAUACCAAAAGUUUAUUUCAGCUCAAUAAAUCUGACUAUUAUUCACAUCUAUGCACCGAUUGCACCAGCCAAAAGAUGAGGAAACUGAAGGGCUGUACAGACAACUCAGGAACUCAUUCAUACUUUGCCAAAACACAUCAUGCUGCCAAUUACAGGGGGAUUUUCAUUGCUAUAACAGAGGGAAAUAUGGUUAUCAGAAUGUAACAGGAGACAUGCACUAGGAGAGAGAAAUUAACAAAGACACCAACUCAUUGAGUUCCACUCAGAAUCUGCUCAUCUCUUGUAAACAUUUGGUUUUAGCACUACCACAAGAGGAGGAAAUGCACUGGGAGUUCCCCAGAACAUCUCCAGAGGAAGAGAACUUGAUUGAAUCAUUGUGCAGAGAAAAUGGAAAAAUCAUUGUUGAGAACUAGACAAUUCCAACAGGUGCCAAUAUCAACUUGGUCAGCAAAAACUUUUGAAGAAAGUUCAAGCUUCCCCCACCAACGUUUAACAAUAUCCACCUUAUAAUACUCAGGAAUAGUCUGGACAACAUAAGGGAGUAGUACAAAAGAAGGAGGUGAUCAGAGGAUUUGGUGCACUGCUAAAAGGUAAGGCAGAAAAACUGCUAUGUUAUCUAUGAAAAGAGAUGACUGCACGUUCAAUAGUAAUGCAAAGAACAUAAAUGGAAUGGUACACACUAUUGUAGAAACAGAAACUAUGGCUGCAUAGUACAGUUUUUAAAUAAUACACAGAACUGAAAGCAAGACGACACUGAACUAGGGCACCAGGAGGGAAUACGCAACAGUGAGCUCAGAGUGUUGAUAAGCAAUGGAUUCUUCAUUAAAACAGCUUUUUUCCUUCGACCUCCUCCACAGAAAUCCAGAGAUAAAGCAUUCACCCCAUUUGCCUCAAUCAAAAUGGACCAACAUUUUAGGGUGCUGUGACAGUCUAUACCCCUUGCACACUGUUGUAAUUCUUUGCACAAAGUAUGUCUUGUGAGGUAUCAUUUGGAAACUCAAAUUUGCUGACCAGUAUUGUCCUCAUAACGUGUGUGUGGCAACACUGUAUGUAAAGUUGUAAGAUUCCACUGUAUGGAGUUACUAACCCAUGUUCCAAGUCUGGGGAGUAGCCAAACCAGUUCUUCAGAGACAAAUGGCACGCUGACACCUCAGCCAGGUCUAAACAAGGUUAAAUGGGCCAUCACCUGCUAAGUAGCUAUUCACUGGCAGGAAAAAGGAGAGGGCAAAAAUCUACAUCUUAGCAAAGAAAGAGUAUACACCAGGAGACUGCCUGGUGCCCUGCUCCCAGCUGGAGAAGCUUCUUAAAGGAGGGAGAGAACUAUAGAUGGAAAGGGGGAACACCCCAAAUGAUCUCUCCCUUCUUCUCUGUCUACUGCAUUUACAACAUCUGAAGAACUCUGAAGAGCUCUGAAGAGAAUGAGCCAAGGACACUGAGAAUCUUCUGAAGGCAUCUGGAGAAGGCUGAUUCUAACAUGGUCUCCAGCUGUGGAAACAGACAAAUAUCUUAAAUUAAAAAAAAGGGGAGGGUGUUAGGCUAGUGAGAAAGUUAAGCCAUACUGAUGACAAGUGAGGGUUGUAAGCGCCUUCAGGGCAACUGAUGAGGAACUGAUCACAUAUUCUGAAUAUACAUACAUAUAUACAUAUUAGGAUUUUUCUGCCAAAAGGACAAUUAGGUUGUUAUUGAAAUAAGAACAUCCUGUUUCCAACACCUGUUCGUAAGCCUACAGAAAACCUUUGCAAAUAUCUGUGUCAGCUGGCCAUUAUGCGUAUGUAGUUUUCAAUAAUAUACCUAAAACCUUCUCCUGCAUGUGCUUUGUACUUCUGGUUAAGACCAGAAUCAGAGGUUUGCUUUCUGUAUGAAAAGCUUCUUAUUGUAUGGAUAAACAUUCACACAGAGCACUAUGAAAAAUAAAACAUUUCAAACCUGUGUCCA